AUCCAUUUCCUUCUGAUGAUGUAUCCAAAUAUUUUAUUUGUGUUAGAGUAAAUGUUAUACUAACGGAUGUGUCUCAUGAAAGUACUAAGUUCAUAAUUUAUCUCCUCUUUAUAUUUGUGUUUUUAUUUAGAUAUGACCAAAGCAAAAAGUGGUCAAUUGAAUUCAAAAUCUAAGAAAUGCAAUAAUGAAAACCAUUCAAGUUCAUCAUUAAGAGAUUUGGCUCUAGGGUUGAAUAUAUUCUCCAUUGGAAUAUAAUUGCUCUUAUCAUAUGAUUCUAAAAGUUAUAUAUAUGUUAUCAUCACAUGUCAUUUGAGAUAGCUUAAUUUUCAACACCACAUACGCUC
rnacentral:lncRNA from 1 species